CACGUAAGGGGCGAGCGUUGUUCGGAAUUAUUGGGCGUAAAGGGUACGUAGGCGGUUGAGUAAGCCCGGCGUGAAAUCCUGCAGCUUAACUGUAGAGCUGCGCUGGGAACUGCUGAACUUGAGUCAUGGAAGGGAAGUUAGAAUUCCAGGUGUAGGGGUGAAAUCUGUAGAUAUCUGGAAGAAUACCGGUGGCGAAGGCGAACUUCUGGCCAAUGACUGACGCUGAGGUACGAAAGUGCGGGGAGCAAACAGG
rnacentral:rRNA from 1 species